rnacentral:misc_RNA from 1 species
GUAUAGAUCAUUUAUAGGCACAAAGGCCCAUUGAAUACAUUCUACAACAUGCUAUGUGGUAUAUGAAAAACAUAGACUCCAGGGAAGGUUCACAACCAUUUGAAGAGAGCUGCACUUUUUUUUUGCGCAAGCAUUCCUCACAUCCGAGAAGACUCGAUAGUUGGCUGCUCUCAAUCCCUAGAAGACUACAAAAAGUGCACAGGUGGAUGAAUAAAAAAACAAGACAGGUGUGCACAAUGCUCCGGAGAGCCAGCUACAACCCAUCAAGUAUAUUCAAUAAUGAUCCUUCCGCAGGUUCACCUACGGAAA